rfam:Schistosoma mansoni strain Puerto Rico chromosome 3, complete genome
GCACUUCUGAGGAGUCCCACAAUAGGACGAAAUGGCCGUCAACCAGUGC